rnacentral:rRNA from 1 species
AUUGAACGCUGGCGGCAUGCCUUACACAUGCAAGUCGAACGGCAGCACGGGAGCUUGCUCCUGGUGGCGAGUGGCGAACGGGUGAGUAAUGCAUCGGAACGUGCCCUGAAGUGGGGGAUAACGUAGCGAAAGUUACGCUAAUACCGCAUAUUCUGUGAGCAGGAAAGCAGGGGAUCUUCGGACCUUGCGCUUUUGGAGCGGCCGAUGUCGGAUUAGCUAGUUGGUGGGUAAAGGCCCACCAAGGCGACGAUCCGUAGCGGGUCUGAGAGGAUGAUCCGCCACACUGGAACUGAGACACGGUCCAGACUCCUACGGGAGGCAGCAGUGGGGAAUUUUGGACAAUGGGCGCAAGCCUGAUCCAGCCAUGCCGCG